CCAGGCUGGGAAGGAGCCGCGACUACUUGCAGGAGGGUGAAGCGUCUGUGCUGCUGAGGUGGGGGGAGAAGAGUACCAGUGUAUGAAGCCUUAAAGAAACGGCCGUUAGGGGAAAGGCACCGACUCGGGAGCUGUGUUUUUCUCCAGGGUUCCCUCCAGCCCUCCCCGGCUAAGGCUCGGCCCCAACAGUCCCGCGCCUCACCCAAGUGCCCCGAGUCCUGCUUCCGCCUCCGCUGCAGCCUCUCCCGCAGAGAAUCCAGUUGCUUUUUGUGGGCCUGGAUAGAGCUCCACGUGUCCGACAUUUCGGUCUCGCAGCCCAGACACGUCUCGAACCAAGGCCGGCUGCCUUCCACCUCUCAGCCCUAGUUCCAAGAAUUAUCCAACUCUCACGCGGACACCCGAAGGCUAACCGGAAAGAGAUCCCGGAGACGCACCGGACGGAAUGUCAUUUCCGGUUUUGCUCUCCCUUUGAAGCUGAAACGAGAGCCACCUUAAGUGUUGGUAGGAUGGCGGCAACCUGCGGCACAUGGAACUUACCUGACCAGGGAUUGAACCCAUAUCCCUUGCUGUGGAAGGCAGAGUCUUCCACAUUGGACCGCCAAGGAAGACCCUACUUAACAGAUAAGAAAAUGGAAGCUUGGAGAGGUUAAGUGACUCUUCCAAGGUCACACAGUAAUUCAGUGAAGCAAGCA